AAGUCGUAACAAGGUUUCCGUAGGUGAACCUGCGGAAGGAUCAUUAACACAAAACUUUCAAUUUAUACUGCGGGUAAUAGCAAAGAACCUACCGUGCCACUGGUCACUAGUCAAUGGUUGGUCCCUUCAUCAAGGAUCUUGAUUUGCUGUUUCGGCUCUUCUUGAUCUGGGAGGGGAACAGGCUAGUGUCUGUGUAUCCGCUUGCGAGGUAACUGUGAGCCGGUAAGGAAUACAGCCUGGACCAUGGCUGGCAAACAUUUUUUUUUUCUUAAACUUUAACGUACGGUCUAUUUGCGGGUUUUGAUUUCAGAUUGAGAGGAUUGAAUUCAUUUCAUUCCUUUCUCUGGUUGAGCUCGUUUGGCUUGGAGCAAUCUAAGACCAUAAAUGAAAAACAACUCUUAACAGCGGAUAUCUUGGUUCUG
rnacentral:misc_RNA from 1 species